GAUGAACGCUAGCGAUAGGCCUAACACAUGCAAGUCGAGGGGCAGCACGGGAGUAGCAAUACAACUGGUGGCGACCGGCGCACGGGUGAGUAACGCGUAUGUAAUCUACCUACAACAGGGGGAUAACCCGGAGAAAUCCGGACUAAUACCGCAUAAAACAGGGGUCCCGCCUGGGACUAUUUGUUAAAGAUUUAUCGGUUGUAGAUGAGCAUGCGUUCCAUUAGAUAGUUGGCAAGGUAACGGCUUACCAAGUCAGCGAUGGAUAGGGGAACGAGAAGGUUUGUCCCCCACACUGGAACUGAGACACGGACCAGACUCCUACGGGAGGCAGCAGUGAGGAAUAUUGGUCAAUGGGCGAGAGCCUGAACCAGCCAAAUCGCGUGAAGGAAGACUGCCUUAUGGGUUGUAAACUUCUUUUACAGGGGAAUAAAAAGACAUACGAGUAUGUCAUUGCAUGUACCCUGUGAAUAAGCAUCGGCUAACUCCGUGCCAGCAGCCGCCGUAA
rnacentral:rRNA from 1 species